UUACGGUCAUAUCACGUUGAAACAUUGGUUCCCGUACGAUCACCUAAAUUAAGCGACAUCGAGCCCGGCAAUUACCUAAAUGGGUGACCGCUUGGGAAGACCAGGUGUUGUAAG